GCGAAAGUGGCGGAAUUGGUAGACGCACCAGACUUAGGAUCUGGCGCCGCGAGGCGUGGGGGUUCGAGUCCCCCCUUUCGCA
rnacentral:tRNA from 1 species